UCGCCGAUCUUGCCGAGGUCUACGUCAACGACGCCUUCGGCGCCUCGCACCGGGCCCACGCAUCGGUCGUGGGUGUCCCGCAGCACCUGCCGGCGGU
rnacentral:tRNA from 1 species